GUGCUCGUAGUUCAGUGGUAGAACGCUGUCCUGAUAAGACAGAGGUCGUAGGUUCGAUUCCUACCGGGCACA
rnacentral:tRNA from 1 species